UUGAAGGGCUAACAGAGCACAUAUGGCUGGUGUGCAAAUAUGACUGGUUGUCAGUCAUCCUACUCCAUAAAUAGGGGACAGCCCGGAGCCCAGUGAGCUCUUUGCAGUGGGUUGUGUGCCAGGAUCUUCUCCUUGAGCAGAGAUGCCUCUCAGGGUUACUCCUCAAGGUCAAGAGACUCCUUACCUAUGACAGAUACUUGAGGCACUGAGUAAGGAAAAGCUCAAAUCAUGACAUGAAGUUGCUCUCUCAUUGCAUAUCUCUCCAGUCUGACACGAUGAAGUUUUGCCUCUUUAGUUUGUGCUUGUUCCCCUCACCUGGACAUAGAAGACAAAAAGUACAGUAUGAACAAAUUUGAAUUGAAACAAAUUAGCAAAUUUAUCUCUGAUGGCAUUGUUGACAGCGUUACAGAGAGAAGCACCAGGCAGGACCUAAAAAGCCUUAUAAUGAAGAAUAUUUGAACCUAAUUUUAGCUUUACAACCUUACAGGUGAAGUAGAGAGUAUAAACUUCUUUAAAGAAGCCCAGCAAGCAGAUAGCCUGGACUUACAGACUGCACCUCCCAGGGUGGCUAGUUCAAAUUAAAUCAUUAGCUGAGAAGGAAUAAUCCUGGUAGGUUCAGAAAACCAGCUUUAAAUUUGGCCUGCUAGCAAAAUUCUGAAUGUAUUUACUCUGGAUUCCAUUUCUCAACCCAUAUUAAAGCUCCAUAGCAUAAUCAAUUAUGGGCUUAUUGCAAAGUACAAUAGGAUUCAAUCUCCAGGAAUGCCUCCGGGUAUGUCUUAGAAGGACGAUAAAACUAACAGUAAUGGGUCUACAACUUCUAAGGCUAAUUUCCACAGUUACAAAUUUUAUAAAUAAAUAGAAGGAAUGUCAACUCUCAGUCACUCAGCUUGUGGUCUCUCAUACUGAUAACUCUUCUCUUCUCAGAUACUUUCUGUUUCUCUGAUAUAUUCCGCUUUCUGUUCUGAAGCCCCUGGGACUUGUUCAAAGCAUUCCCAUUCCUACCUUUCACGUCGCUAAAUGGAGCAAAGAACCAACACAGCCAGAAAUACAGCCCCAGCACAGACAGAGCUCCCAAGGAGGAGGCAGCUCUGCAGACCUGGGGCUGAAGGGGUGUCUGGGGCCCAUUGCUAAGGCUGGGGCUGAAGGGGUGAUGCUCUAUGGGAGAGGGACAAUCACCUGAAAUCAAGUAAGUAGGUGGAGGAACAGGAUGGCAAGCAAGGGUUGCAGGGUGAUGUGGACAAGAGGAAUCUCAUGAUCAAAAAACAGGGUUGAAAGGUGC